GGUGUUAAGGGGUUUAGAGCCAGGGGGGAACAGAUGAAGAGGUGUUAAGGGGUUUAGAGCCAGGGGGAACAGAUGAAGAGGUGUUAAGGGGUCUAGAGCCAGGGGGAACAGAUGAAGAGGUGUUAAGGGGUCUAGAGCCAGGGGGAACAGAUGAAGAGGUGUUAAGGGGUCUAGAGCCAGGGGGAACAGAUGAAGAGGUGUUAAGGGGUCUAGAGCCAGGGGGAACAGAUGAAGAGGUGUUAAGGGGUCUAGAGCCAGGGGGAACAGAUGAAGAGGUGUUAAGGGGUCUAGAGCCAGGGGGAACAGAUGAAGAGGUGUUAAGGGGUUUAGAGCCAGGGGGA